rnacentral:miRNA from 1 species
UGCUUUUUUCUUGACCAUAGC